rnacentral:sRNA from 1 species
GGCGUUGAAGCAGUUGACGGGAUCAGCAUCCGUAUAGCUGUGGAGCCUUGAGCGAGGGUUAGACAGUUUCCACAGGCUGAUGUAGGGGCAACCCGAAAGAAAAUGUCA